CAGAGGUUACACAGGCUCCUGUGCUAAAUAUGAAUAGACAUGGGACCUAGGUCAGAUUGAUGGGAUUUACAGUUGAUGGUAUUUAACUUUAUAUUUUCCAAUGUGGAUUUCUUUGAUAUUUCUUUCUUGUGUGAUUAUGAUUGCAAGGACUUCCAGGACUAUGUUGAAUAAAAAUGGCUAUAUCACCAGGAAAGGAAUUGCAGGCUCAUAAGCCAACAAGUUGCAGAUGCUACUGUGACACCAACCUGACUUCCCUGGGCAGACAACCAUAUCACUGUGUCCUGGAACCUCACCUCCCCAGAGCCCUACCUCAGGAGGGAAAGAUAGAAACAGGCAGGGCCACCAAGUUGCAGAGGCUACCAUGACGCCAACCUGACUCCCUGGGCAGACAACCUCACCAAUGUGUCCUAGAACCUCACUUCCCCAGAGCCCUACCCCACUAGGGAAAGAUAGAAACAGGUUGGGGGUGUGGAUCAAUCUGUUAACUCUAUG